rnacentral:rRNA from 1 species
UGGCGAACGGGUGAGUAACGCGUGGGUGACCUACCUUCGAAUGGGGGAUAACGUCCCGAAAGGGACGCUAAUACCGCAUAACAUCCUGUCCUUGAACGGAUGGAGAUCAAAGCCGGGGAUCGCAAGACCUGGCGUUUGAAGAGGGGCCCGCGUCUGAUUAGCUAGUUGGUGAGGUAACGGCCCACCAAGGCGACGAUCAGUAUCCGGCCUGAGAGGGCGGACGGACACACUGGGACUGAGACACGGCCCAGACUCCUACGGGAGGCAGCAGUGGGGAAUUGUUCGCAAUGGGCGCAAGCCUGACGACGCAACGCCGCGUGGAGGAUGAAGGUCUUCGGAUUGUAAACUCCUGUUGCCCGGGACGAAUGGCUCCAACCUAAUACGUUGGAGUGUGACGGUACCGGGUGAGGAAGCCCCGGCUAACUCUGUGCCAGCAGCCGCGGUAAUACAGAGGGGGCGAGCGUUGUUCGGAAUUACUGGGCGUAAAGGGCGCGUAGGUGGCCUGCUAUGUCGAACGUGAAAUCCCUGGGCUCAACCCAGGAACUGCGUCCGAAACUGGCGGGCUCGAAUCCGGGAGAGGGAUGUGGAAUUCCAGGUGUAGCGGUGAAAUGCGUAGAUAUCUGGAGGAACACCGGUGGCGAAGGCGGCAUCCUGGACCGGUAUUGACGCUCAGGCGCGAAAGCCAUGGGAGCAAACGGGAUUAGAUACCCCGGUAGUCCUGGCCCUAAACGAUGAAUGCUUGGUGUGGCAGGUAUCGAUCCCUGCCGUGCCGAAGCUAACGCAUUAAGCAUUCCGCCUGGAGAGUACUGUCGCAUCGCUGAAACUCAGAGGAAUUGACGGGGGC